rnacentral:snRNA from 1 species
AGAUGUGUAAGACAGAACUUUUUAUCAAGAACAGGGCGAGGCUUAUCCAUUGCACUCCGGAUGUGCUGACCCCUCAACUUCCCCAAACGUGGGAAACUCGACUGCAUAAUUUGUGGUAGUGGGGGACUACGUUCACGCUCUCCCCUG